CAGCCCAGAAGCAAACCUCCACACCGCGUGCACAUUUUGCUUCAGCAGACCGAAGUGCCGGUGGCUGGUUGCUCUCUUGAGCCAGGUAUUUGUCUAACCCCGUGACACCAGGAAAACUGAUUUCUUGGUACAAACGUUUCCCAGAGAUGUGUAUGGUCACAGCCAGCGUCCAGAAUAUCCUCACUCCAGGUUCACUGAAGAAUCCCGGGGACUCAGCAUGGAAGCCGGGGACCCCAGAGCUGCUGGGGAAGCUGCACGGUGAGCUCACUGCAGCACCACGGUGUGCAAGAGCUGGGAAGGGAGACGCCCCACUCGCAGGGCAGGACACAGCCUGCUGUUAGGACUCGGCUGCCACCUGUUUUUGGAGUGGGUGCUGCCAGCUGGUGGAAUCGGGAGUUUAAAAACGUGGCUUCUGCAAGGGGUGCCUCCAUCCGAAACCAUGGGGAGAUGAGAAACACCUUCAGCGCCCGAAGGCUUUGCAGCAGCGCUGACUGAUCAAAUAAAAAUAUGUGAAUCAUAAAUCAAG
rnacentral:lncRNA from 1 species